GCGGGGCAUGGGCCGGGCCUUCUGCCCUCGCGCCUCCUCAACCGUCAGCCGCCAGUGGAAUUCAAACCCCGACGUGGCUCCCACUGCCCGGGGUGUCCAGUCUUGCGCCCGCUGGGCUCGCCCGGAAGGAGAAGGUGCUCCCCGCCCGGCUCGGUUCCCACUGGCCGCUGCCUCGCUGGCUCAGCCCUGAGAGACGGAGAUACACAGGGGCCUGAACUCCCCGCCUGAGCCCGGAGGGAGCUGGCUCCUGGGAGAGGGGCAGGGACCCCCUGACGACCCCCUCCCACCAGUGGAGCGCACGUGGGCCGCCAUCAGGACUCGAGUGGCCGCCCAGCUGCAGGGCUCCAGCAACUGCACGCGGCAGCCACCGCCGCGGGGGAGCAAUAAACGAAAUCGGUUUCCCACGC